UACAGAGGUCUCAAGCGUUGUUCGGAUUCAUUGGGCGUAAAGGGUAGGUAGGUGGUCUUGUUUGUCUGGGGUGAAAUCCUUGAGCUUAACUCAAGAAGUGCCUCGGAAACGGCAAGACUAGAGUCCUGGAGAGGGUCGUGGAAUUCCCGGUGUAGCGGUGAAAUGCGUAGAGAUCGGGAGGAACACCAGAGGCGAAGGCGGCGACCUGGACAGGUACUGACACUCAACUACGAAAGCAUGGGGAGCAAACAGG
rnacentral:rRNA from 1 species